rnacentral:tRNA from 1 species
GCCCACAUAGCUCAGUUGGUAGAGCGCGUCAGUAUGUAUGACGAGGUCGCCAGUUCGACUCUGUCUGUGGGCA